rnacentral:rRNA from 1 species
AUUAGAUACCCUGGUAGUCCACGCCGUAAACGAUGUCGACUUGGAGGUUGUGCCCUUGAGGCGUGGCUUCCGGAGCUAACGCGUUAAGCCGACCGCCUGGGGAGUACGGCCGCAAGGUUAAAACUCAAAUGAAUUGACGGGGGCCCGCACAAGCGGUGGAGCAUGCGGUUUAAUCCGAUGCAACGCGAAGAACCUUACCUACUCUUGACAUCCAGAGAACUUAGCAGAGAUGCUUUGGUGCCUUCGGGAACUCUGAGACAGGUGCUGCAUGGCUGUCGUCAGCUCGUGUUGUGAAAUGUUGGGUUAAGUCCCGCAAGCAGCGCAACCCUUAUCCUUUGUUGCCAGCGGUUCGGCCGGGAACUCAAAGGAGACUGCCAGUGAUAAACUGGAGGAAGGUGGGGAUGACGUCAAGUCAUCAUGGCCCUUACGAGUAGGGCUACACACGUGCUACAAUGGCAUAUACAAAGAGAAGCGACCUCGCGAGAGCAAGCGGACCUCAUAAAGUAUGUCGUAGUCCGGAUUGGAGUCUGCAACUCGACUCCAUGAAGUCGGAAUCGCUAGUAAUCGUGGAUCAG